UACGAAGGGUGCAAGCGUUAAUCGGAAUUACUGGGCGUAAAGCGCGCGUAGGUGGUUCAGUAAGUUGAAUGUGAAAGCCCCGGGCUCAACCUGGGAACUGCAUCCAAAACUGGCAAGCUAGAGUAUGGCAGAGGGUGGUGGAAUUUCCUGUGUAGCGGUGAAAUGCGUAGAUAUAGGAAGGAACACCAGUGGCGAAGGCGACCACCUGGGCCAAUACUGACACUGAGGUGCGAAAGCGUGGGGAGCAAACAGG
rnacentral:rRNA from 1 species